CGAACCGAGGCUUGCAACAUAAGAUCGUGCAACGCCACUUGUGCAAAGGAGUCUGAAACGUGGAACGACCGGGACGUCUACGGGAAGUGCGAAGAAAAAGGCAUCUGCCGCUGCUACCAUCGAGACAGUUGCCGUCAGGACAAGUGCAAGGACACUUGUGAAGACAAGCACGGAACUGAGGACGGCCUACAGUAUAAAUGUGCCGAGGGCGCCUGCAUCUGCACUUGGAACAAACUAUGCACCCCUACUGGAUGCGAAGCCGCGUGCUACAGAAUCUACAUUGGAAGGCCAAACAUCGAAUGGUGGUGCGAAGACGUCUCGUGCCACUGCAAGUGGCAUG